rfam:Oryza punctata chromosome 1, whole genome shotgun sequence.
UUUAAACGUAGUCAUAAGUUUUUUUUGUCCAACUUUGAUCAUUCAUCUUAUCUGAAAUUUUUUAUGAUUAGUAUUUUCUGUUAUUAGAUAAUAACACAUGAAUAGUACUUUAUGCGUGAUUUAUGUUUUUUAAUUUUUUAAAGAACUUUUUCAAAUAAUAUGAAUGAUUAAAGUUGGAUAUGGAAAUUCAUGGUUGCUUUUAAA